rnacentral:rRNA from 1 species
ACGAACGCUGGCGGCGUGGAUAAGACAUGCAAGUCGAACGCUAAUUAGGCUGGGUAGCAAUAAGUCCAGUAGUCGGAGUGGCGCAAGGGUGCGUAACACGUGGGUAAAUCUGCCAGUGAGAGUGGGGAUAACUCGCUGAAAGGCGAGCUAAUACCGAAUGUGACUGCUAUUGGAGGCAUCAUUUGGCUGAUCGAAGCUUGGGGACCGAAAGGCCUGACGCUCUACUGAUAAGCCCGCGGCCUAUCAGCUAGUUGGUGAGGGUAACGGCUCACCAAGGCUAAGACGGGUAGCUGGUCUUGAGAGGACGACCAGCCACACUGGAACUGAGACACGGUCCAGACACCUACGGGUGGCAGCAGUCGAGAAUUUUUCAUCAAUGGGCGCAAGCCUGAAUGGAGCGACGCCGCGUGGGGGAUGAAGGGCUUUCGAUCCGUAAACCCCUGUCAUUUGCGAACAAACCUUAUGGGAUAACACCUCGUGAGCUGAUUGUAGCGGAAAGAGGAAGGGACGGCUAACUCUGUGCCAGCAGCCGCGGUAAUACAGAGGGUCCCAAGCGUUGUUCGGAUUCACUGGGCGUAAAGGGUGCGUAGGUGGCCAGGGUAAGUUUGGUGUGAAAUCUCGGAGCUCAACUCGGAAAAGGCAUUGAAUACUAUCCUGCUGAGGAGUCGGAGGGGAGACUGGAACUCUCGGUGUGUAGCAGUGAAAUGCGUAGAUAUCGAGAGGAACACCAGUGGGCGAAGGCGAGUCUCUAGGACAACUCCUGACACUGAGGCACGAAAGCUAGGGGAGGCAAACAGGAUUAGAUACCCUGGUAGUCCUAGCUGUAAACGGUGCAUAUUUGCUGUAAAGGAAUCGACCCCUUUGUGGCGUAAGCUAACGCCGCUAAACGUGCCGCCUGGGGAAGUACGGUCGCAAGAUUAAAACUCAAAGAAAUUGACGGGGGCCUGCACAAGCGGUGGAGUAUGUGGCUUAAUUCGAUGCAACGCGAAGAACCUUACCUGGCCCUUGACAUGCACGUAGUAGGAGCCAUGAAAGGGUGACGAACCCGCAAGUGGGUAAGCGUGCACAGGUGCUGCAUGGCUGUCGUCAGCUCGUGUCGUGAGAUGUUGGGUUAAGUCCCGCAACGAGCGCAACCCUUGUGUCCUGUUGCCACCUCGAAACGAGAGUUUGGAGCACUCUGGACAGACUGCCUCGCUUAAACGAGGAGGAAGGUGGGGAUGACGUCAAGUCAGUAUGGCCCUUACGGCCAGGGCUGCACACGUACUACAAUGCCCUGGUACAAAGGGAAGCAGAGACCGUACAGGUGGAGCAAAUCCCAAAAACCAGGGCCUCAGUUCAGAUUGUCGUCUGCAACUCGCCGGCAAUGAAGCUGGAAUCGCUAGUAAUGGCGCAUCAGCUACGGCGCCGUGAAUACGUUCCCAGGCCUUGUACACACCGCCCGUCACAUCAUGAAAGCCGGUUGUACCCGAAGUCACUGCUGCGUUAACUCGCAAGGAGGACAGGUGCCGAAGGUAUGGCUGGUGAUUGGGAUG